rnacentral:rRNA from 1 species
AUGCGUGCCCUUGGAGAUGCGCUAACCAAUCUUGUUUUUAGCCAUGGCUCCGUCAGCAUCGAGUAUGGUGACGGCGGCGCUUCCCAAGGAAAAUCAGCGGCGCCAUCCAGUUUACCCAAUGAAGUGUUGUCAUUGCAAACCUUGUACCUCCACUCGAGGCGGCAAUCAGGGGUUUUCCUCGAGGAGCAAAUUCUGCAAUCUGUACUCAUGGGAGAAUGUUUUCGGUAUCAGGAAAGUGUCACCAAAACGUCCCAGGGAUUGCUUGCAGUUGUGCAGGCAAGCCGGACAGCGAGAACAAGUUCAUCCGCUAGAACAAAGUGCCCUGCGAUGCUAAGCCUGUUAAGGACGGAAGAUGGAGGCUGGUAUGGUAUUUAUGUGCGCACAGGGUGUUGCAUAACCAUGAACUCCUCGGAACUUGUAGUCCACGUGGGGUUCCUAAUCUUGAAGUCAGAAGUGCCUUCACGACCGGAGCAAGCGCCACCCGGACCAGACUGGUAUUUCACUUGA